GAUGAACGCUAGCUAUAGGCUUAACACAUGCAAGUCGAGGGGAAACGGCAUUAUGUGCUUGCACAUUUUGGACGUCGACCGGCGCACGGGUGAGUAUCGCGUAUCCAACCUUCCCUCCACUCGGGGAUACCCCGUUGAAAGACGGCCUAAUACCCGAUGUUGUCCACAUAUGGCAUCUGACGUGGACCAAAGAUUCAUCGGUGGAGGAUGGGGAUGCGUCUGAUUAGCUUGUUGGUGCGGGUAACGGCCCACCAAGGCUACGAUCAGUAGGGGUUCUGAGAGGAAGGUCCCCCACAUUGGAACUGAGACACGGUCCAAACUCCUACGGGAGGCAGCAGUGAGGAAUAUUGGUCAAUGGACGGAAGUCUGAACCAGCCAAGUAGCGUGCUGGACUGACGGCCCUAUGGGUUGUAAACUGCUUUUGUUGGGGAGUAAAGUGAGGCACGCGUGCCUUUUUGCAUUUACCCUUCGAAUAAGGACCGG
rnacentral:rRNA from 1 species